GCAUAUCAAUAAGCGGAGGAAAAGAAACCAACAGGGAUUGCCCCAGUAACGGCGAGUGAAGCGGCAACAGCUCAAAUUUGAAAUCUGGCCCCUAGGGCCCGAGUUGUAAUUUGCAGAGGAUGCUUUUGGCAAGGCGCCGCCCGAGUUCCCUGGAACGGGACGCCGCAGAGGGUGAGAGCCCCGUCUGGCUGGACGCCGAGCCUUUGUAAAGCUCCUUCGACGAGUCGAGUAGUUUGGGAAUGCUGCUCUAAAUGGGAGGUAUAUGUCUUCUAAAGCUAAAUAUUGGCCAGAGACCGAUAGCGCACAAGUAGAGUGAUCGAAAGAUGAAAAGCACUUUGAAAAGAGGGUUAAACAGUACGUGAAAUUGUUGAAAGGGAAGCGCUCAUGACCAGACUUGGGCUUGGCGGAUCAUCCGGCGUUCUCGCCGGUGCACUUCGCCUCGCCCAGGCCAGCAUCAGUUCGCCCCGGGGGACAAAAGCUUCGGGAAUGUGGCUCCUCCGGGAGUGUUAUAGCCCGUUGCACAAUACCCUGGGGCGGACUGAGGUUCGCGCGUCCGCAAGGAUGCUGGCGUAAUGGUCAUCAGCGACCCGUCUUGAAACACGGACCAAGGAGUCGUCCUCGUAUGCGAGUGUUCGGGUGUCAAACCCCUACGCGUAAUGAAAGUGAACGCAGGUGAGAGCUUCGGCGCAUCAUCGACCGAUCCUGAUGUUCUCGGAUGGAUUUGAGUAAGAGCAUACGGGGCCGGACCCGAAAGAAGGUGAACUAUGCCUGUAUAGGGUGAAGCCAGAGGAAACUCUGGUGGAGGCUCGCAGCGGUUCUGACGUGCAAAUCGAUCGUCAAAUAUGGGCAUGGGGGCGAAAGACUAAUCGAA
rnacentral:rRNA from 1 species